rnacentral:rRNA from 1 species
UACGUAGGUGGCAAGCGUUGUCCGGAAUACUGGGCGUAAAGCGCACGCAGGCGGAUUGAUAAGUCAGGGGUGAAAUCCCGGGGCUCAACCUCGGAAUUGCCUUUGAUACUGUCUGUCUUCGAGUUCGGGAGAGGUUGGCGGAAUUCCUAGUGUAGAGGUGAAAUUCGUAGAUAUUAGGAAGAACACCAGUGGCGAAGGCGGCCAA